rnacentral:rRNA from 1 species
GUGGGGAAUAUUGGACAAUGGGCGAAAGCCUGAUCCAGCCAUGCCGCGUGAGUGAUGAAGGCCUUAGGGUUGUAAAGCUCUUUCAGUAGGGAAGAUAAUGACGGUACCUACAGAAGAAGCCCCGGCUAACUUCGUGCCAGCAGCCGCGGUAAUACGAAGGGGGCUAGCGUUGUUCGGAUUUACUGGGCGUAAAGCGCACGUAGGCGGAUAUUUAAGUCAGGGGUGGAAUCCCAGAGCUCAACUCUGGAACUGCCUUUGAUACUGGGUAGGUCGAGUAUGGAAGAGGUGAGUGGAAUUCCGAGUGUAGAGGUGAAAUUCGUAGAUAUUCGGAGGAACACCAGUGGCGAAGGCGGCUCACUGGUCCAUUACUGACGCUGAGGUGCGAAAGCGUGGGGAGCAAACAGGAUUAGAAACCCGGGUAGUCC